rnacentral:tRNA from 1 species
GUGCUGCUGGAGGGCGGUCUCGACCUCGGCCCGGUGAUCACGGGCAGCUACGGCUACCAGGACUUCGACGCCGCGUUCGACGAGGCGGCCACCGCCC